rnacentral:rRNA from 1 species
GAUGAACGCUGGCGGCGUGCUUAACACAUGCAAGUCGAACGAAGCACUUUAUUUGAUUUCCUUCGGGACUGAUUAUUUUGUGACUGAGUGGCGGACGGGUGAGUAACGCGCGGGUAACCUGCCUUGUACAGGGGGAUAACAGUUGGAAACGGCUGCUAAUACCGCAUAAGCGCACAGCAUCGCAUGAUGCAGUGUGAAAAACUCCGGUGGUAUAAGAUGGACCCGCGUUGGAUUAGCUAGUUGGUGAGGUAACGGCCCACCAAGGCGACGAUCCAUAGCCGACCUGAGAGGGUGACCGGCCACAUUGGGACUGAGACACGGCCCAAACUCCUACGGGAGGCAGCAGUGGGGAAUAUUGCACAAUGGGCGAAAGCCUGAUGCAGCGACGCCGCGUGAGCGAAGAAGUAUUUCGGUAUGUAAAGCUCUAUCAGCAGGGAAGAUAAUGACGGUACCUGACUAAGAAGCACCGGCUAAAUACGUG